rnacentral:pre_miRNA from 1 species
GGGAUGAGGUAGUAGGUUGUGUGGUUUCAGGGGAGUGAUUUUGCCCCAAUCAGAAGAUAACUAUACAGCCUACUGCCUUCCC